AAACGGAGCACUUGAGUAUUCUUUUGGGCCCCAAAAAUCCCUCCCUCUAAGCCUUGCACCCGCAUUUACUCUUUUCCCAUCUCCAAUUCCUUCGUUGAAUUUGAACCCCUCUCGCUAUCUCUCUCAGUGUCUCUCCUUCCAUCUUCUCUCUUCCAUUAAUGGGGUCCCCUCUCCGGUUCCCAGGGUUGUGACGGAAACAACCAGCAAACUACUCUCGUAUCUCUCAUUCACACAUCGUCACGGCGGGCGACGCUAAUGCGAGAGCAGACGACGUUAAGGCGGACGGCCGCCACGACUCCUUGAUGAUGGAGUGACAGACACAACCAGCAUCCUCUUCUCCUUCUCUCACGGUGGUAGCUGCGCAAUCAUCUGAGCUGUACCUGCGUUUUCUACAGAAGAUGCUAGAGUGUUUGAAUAAGGCUAAUAAAUCAGAUUUUCUUUCGGUUAGUUUGAUUAUUUGAUUAUAUAUUUCUUGUUAUUUUUAGUGUUUGAUCAGUUCGGAUACGAAUUCUAAGCAAAGUAGGUCCAGUGAAAUUUGAAUUUGAGUGAAUUAUUGUUAGUAAUGUAACUUACCUGGAUGUAUUCUUCUGUAUUCUGGUGCCUUUCAAAAUUUUCAUUUGGAUUAACAUAAUAUGGACUUGUAGGAUAUUGCACAGGAUUAGCUUUGGAAGGCAUUAUGAAUUUGAGAGAAAAAUUUGAUCAAAGAAGAGAAAAUUGAACAAAUCUAAGAUCAAAAACAAUCAAACGAUGUGAUUUAAUCUUUAAACAAAAUCUAAUUUUCCAGAAUUUCAAGAAAUGACAAUUAUCAAACAAUCAAAUCAAAACUAAGAACCUGAUUUCUGUAAAUUCUGACUUAUGUAAUUUGAUGUUUUACAGAAAUUUGCUGCUGUUCUAUGUUGAAAUUUCGAUUUGAGUUUGAAAGAAUUUGCGAAUUUGCUACUGAAAUGUAGCUGAAUUUCCACCAGGAUCUUAGCGUAGAUCCUGCUGUGAUACCAUAAAGAAGUUCAUAUAACUUCACAUAAAAACUGAUUGAAUUUAAAGAAAGUUUAAAGAGAAAGUAGAGAGAAGAGAGGGAGAAGAAUUUUUAUUAUAAACGAAUGAGCUACUAGAACUCACUGUCAACUUAUUAUAUUGACAGCUUUCAUUGCAGAAAUGGGUCUUUCAACUAACUAACUAACUAACUUUUCUAACAACAUGAGAAGUAGUUAUAACAGAAUAAAACUAUAAUGUUGAGUCAUCAGUUUGUUGAGCUUGAGCUUUGAGCUGCUUGGGCUUAGCUUGCUAUUGAGCAUGUUCAUCAAUACUUGUGCAUACAAGGGACAAAAAUAAUACAAGAAAACAUGUCACUCUCAUUACUAAUCUUUAUCUGCAAAUCACACUGUUUUCCUUUGUUAUUAUUGAUCAAUAUUUGUAGGAUGCACUAAAAUUAAAAAAUUUGCAUAAGAAAUGGUUGCAAUUUCCCAUUGAAGCUAUGACUCCUUCACAUCUUUGACAAGCCUCAGUGCUUUGUGGAGCAAAUAGACAUGCAUGGACACUUGUAGUAAACAGUCUUGUAACUUAAGACAUCCAUGAAUAAUUAUAGUAAACAGUGAUCUAAUCUAUUUGAAUGUAGUAGUUAUUUUUAUUUAUGCUCUUGAAAUUGGGAAUUUGACAAUUGUGCAAACAGCCAAACAGAUAGAGAUCUUGUCACCUUUAUCUGGUUGGCAUUCUCGAAUACUACAAAAUUUUCAAAAAAAUGGUGCUUAAUUUUGCUACUUCUUAAUUUUAUGGACUUUAGCCACAUAGACAAGGACAAUAAGUUACUGGAGUAGAUUAUUUUCCUGUGCUCUUAUUGCUGUUGUUAGCAAAAAUCUAUCUAUAUUUUUAUCGUCAAGUAUCUGAAGUCUAAACAUUGUAUUGAUCCUGAAUUCUGCAGGUCUGUUGCAUAUGCACUUGAAGCACUAGGUUUUCCGCGGGGAUCAACAAUAGCUAUAGAUUUGCCAAUGAAUGUUGAUUCCGUGAUCUUCUAUCUUGCUAUCAUUCUUACAGGCAAUCUUGUUGUGUCCAUUGCUGAUAGUAUUCUGUCUACCUUUCACAGUGUCAGACAUUGAACGAGGAAGAAAAUUUUGAGGUUCAGGACAGAGAAUCACUUUUUCCUCUUGGAUGGAUUCAUGUUCUUGAGUAUCGUGGUGAACAGGUGAGGCGCAGUGUUGCUGAUUUGAGAGAGGCACAGUAUCGUGUAGAAGAAAAAGCGACUAUCUGUUUAAGAUCAGUGAAGAUGUAGUAAUCGAUGCUACUAACAAAGGAAACAUUGCUCGCCUAAUCAACCACUCCGUGUUCCAUUUUCUCAGCAACUUAUUUGCAUGGCGUGAUUACUUUAAUAAUUGAGCUUGGUGCAAACUUUUUCUGUCUACUAGUUAGAUAUAGGAUUCUUGCUCCUGUAUCUAUAUUGCUGUAACUUUCGUAAUGCAAAUAAAUGAUCUCUGUUUAUGAAAAAUAAUGUGAUGUUUGUCCUUUUCUCUUUGUUCGAAGAGCAAGUCUUGGGAGGGGGAUAUGUUUG